UAGGGAUACCCGCUGAACUUAAGCAUAUCAAUAAGCGGAGGA
rnacentral:rRNA from 3 species